rnacentral:rRNA from 1 species
AGUGAACGCUGGCGGCGUGCCUAAUACAUGCAAGUCGAACGGAGAUUAAGUAGCUUGCUAUUUAAUCUUAGUGGCGCACGGGUGAGUAAUAUAUAGCUAACUUGCCCAUUACUAAGGGACAACAGUUGGAAACGACUGCUAAUACCUUAUACUCCGUAUCUAUAUAAGUAGAUACGGGAAAGUUUUUCGGUAAUGGAUAGGGCUAUAUCGUAUCAGCUAGUUGGUAAGGUAAUGGCUUACCAAGGCUAUGACGCGUAACUGGUCUGAGAGGAUGAUCAGUCACACUGGAACUGAGACACGGUCCAGACUCCUACGGGAGGCAGCAGUAGGGAAUAUUGCUCAAUGGGGGAAACCCUGAAGCAGCAACGCCGCGUGGAGGAUGACACUUUUCGGAGCGUAAACUCCUUUUCUUGGGAAAGAAUUAUGACGGUACCCAAGGAAUAAGCACCGGCUAACUCCGUGCCAGCAGCCGCGGUAAUACGGAGGGUGCAAGCGUUACUCGGAAUCACUGGGCGUAAAGGACGCGUAGGCGGAUUAUCAAGUCCCUUGUGAAAUCUAACGGCUUAACCGUUAAACUGCUUGGGAAACUGAUAAUCUAGAGUAAGGGAGAGGCAGAUGGAAUUCUUGGUGUAGGGGUAAAAUCCGUAGAGAUCAAGAAGAAUACCCAUUGCGAAAGCGAUCUGCUGGAACUUAACUGACGCUAAUGCGUGAAAGCGUGGGGAGCAAACAGG